rnacentral:rRNA from 1 species
CAGUAGCCACGGUAAUACGGAGGGGGCUAGCGUUGUUCGGAAUUACUGGGCGUAAAGCGCACGUAGGCGGAUAUUUAAGUCAGGGGUGAAAUCCCGCAGCUCAACUGCGGAACUGCCUUUGAUACUGGGUAUCUCGAGUCCGGAAGAGGUGAGUGGAAUUCCGAGUGUAGAGGUGAAAUUCGUAGAUAUUCGGAGGAACACCAGUGGCGAAGGCGGCUCACUGGUCCGGUACUGACGCUGAGGUGCGAAAGCGUGGGGAGCAAACAGGAUUAGAUACCCCCGUAGUCCCUGUCUCUUAUAC